CCAAUAGCGUAUAUUAAAGUUGUUGCAGUUAAAAAGCUCGUAGUUGAAUUUCGGGAUUGACGUGACGGUCAUGCCUUAAGGGGUAUGAACUGUUACUGUUGAUUUCUCACCUUCUGGAGAAACUUGAUGUCCUUUAUUGGGUGUCUUGCGGAUUCAGGACCUUUACCUUGAAAUAAUUAGAGUGUUUAAAGCAGGCAUUUUUGCUCGAAUACAUUAGCAUGGAAUAAUAGAAUAGGACGGCAUGGUUCUAUUUUGUUGGUUUCUAGGAUCACCGUAAUGAUUAAUAGGGAUAGUUGGGGGCAUUAGUAUUCAAUUGUCAGAGGUGAAAUUCUUGGAUUUAUUGAAGAUUAACUACUGCGAAAGCAUUUGCCAAGGAUGUUUUCAUUAAUCAAGAACGAAAGUUAGGGGAUCGAAGACGAUCAGAUACCGUCGUAGUCUUAACCAUAAACUAUGCCGACUAGGAAUCAGACGAUGUUAAUUUUUUAAUGACUCGUUUGGCACCUUACG
rnacentral:rRNA from 1 species